AUUGAACGCUGGCGGCAGGCCUCACACAUGCAAGUCGAGCGAGCGGCGGACGGGUGAGUAAUGUCUGGGAAACUGCCUGAUGGAGGGGGAUAACUACUGGAAACGGUAGCUAAUACCGCAUACCAUCCAAGAUGCCCAGAUGGGAUUAGCUAGGAGGUGGGGUAAUGGCUCACCUAGGCGAAGAUCCCUAGAUGGUCUGAGAGUAUGACCAGCAACACUGGAACUGAGACACGGUCCAGACUCCUACGGGAGGCAGCAGUGGGGAAUAUUGCACAAUGGGCGCAAGCCUGAUGCAGCAAUGCCGCGUGUGUGAAGAAGGCCUUCGGGUUGUAAAGCACUUUCAGCGGGGAGGCGUUACCCGCAGAAGAAGCACCGGCUAACUCCGUGCCAGCCGCCGCGGUAAUAC
rnacentral:rRNA from 1 species